rnacentral:rRNA from 1 species
GACGAACGCUGGCGGCGUGCUUAACACAUGCAAGUCGAACGGAAAGGCCCUGCUUUUGUGGGGUGCUCGAGGGGCGAACGGGUGAGUAACCCGUGAGUAACCUGCCCUUGACUUUGGGAUAACUUCAGGAAACUGGGGCUAAUACCGACUAGGUGCGCCUGCUGCAUGGGGGGGGUUGGAACGUUUCGGCGGGUGGGGAUGGAGUGUGGGGUUAUUAGCUUGUUGGGGGGGUAGUGGCCUAGCAAGGGAUUGGCUGGUGGUCGGCCUGAGAGGGGGACCGGCCUCAUGGGUACUGAGGGACGGCCCAGAGGCCUACGGGAGACAGCAGUGGGGAAUAUUGCACAGUGGGCCGAAGUCUGAUGCAACAACGCCGCGUGCGGAAUGACGGCCUUCGGGUGGGAAACCGCAUUCGCCUAUUACGAAGCUGGAGUGACGUUAAUGGGUAAAGAAGCACCGGCUAACUACGUG